GUCACUAACAUUUAAUUUUCCAGAAUACGUAUUGCGUAGAUUCGGAUGUAAAUAUGAAUCGAUAUCACAUUAAUGAUGUGAUUUAUCGUUAUGUUUAAUUAUAGACGGGGGAUAAUCUGUUGCUAGAUAUCCCCAUUUUGUGUCACAGUUGCUUCGAGGGAAUCAGUGUUAUUGCAAAUAGUAUUAAGUGCGCUGCUUUUCGAUAACGAUUUAAUUUACGAUGGCUCGCUAUACACCUAGCGAAAUUGUCGAUAUGCUUGUGGCUUUGAGAGAAUGUGAUGAGUUUGGGAGAAUUAGUUCUAUCACUUCCGAGAUGUUGUUUAGGAUAGAGUAAAUAAUUGUAUUGACGUCCAAGAACAUCCUUUUGAAUACGUACGAUAAGGAACAAUUUUUUAGACGGAGGUAAGUUUUGGACCGCAAUAAAAGACCUUGAAUGACCUUAGAACACCAAUAUAUCGAAAUUUGGCGAAUUCGUCACGGAACGGGCUACGCGCCUACUUAAAUAAAGACAUAUUAGUUCCGUAUCAAAGAUCAUCUUGAAAUUUUAAAAGUACGUCCACCUGGAGAAGAUUUGUGAUCAACGUAAGAUGACCUUCCCGAAACAGGCUACAUAAUCCCUUGGAGCAAGAAGAACCGUGAAAGAAGAAAGAAAAACCGAGCGAAUCCAACGAAGAUGAAAUGAGAAACAGAGAAGCGAUGAAGGAAAAGCGAUCCAAGUGAAUCGACGAGAGGGAACAGAGUAAGAUGGGAGAAAAGAAGAAGAGAGAGAAAGAGAUAGAAAGAGAGAGGAUAAACGUUGAAGAACAAGGACGAGGAAAACCGACGACCCCACUGUUUGCCUUUUAUUAAACUCUUGUUAAACGCCGCCUUUCUUCGCACACACAAUUGAAUCGGCAAAACAGCGAAGAUAAUGCUUCGACCGAGUUGUACACGGCCGAGGGCCAAGCUCUUCUACGUGGAAGACUUACCGCAAACACCAGCUUCUUGUACACCCUGAAAUGGACACCAUGUAAUCCGGCUUUUUAUACGGCAGUGCCGCAUUGACCGGCUCCUCCAAGGCAUGCACAUCGGCUACUACUGGCUAAUAAAUACUGUUGUCAUCUCUCUUUCUCUCUCUCUCUCUCUCUCUCUCUCCCUCUAUACGUUUCCGUUUGUUCGUGAAAAAGAACCCUGAAAACGAUUCUUCAACGACCGUGAAAAUCGCACGGCCCACCCUCUUUCUGCCGGCAUCGUUCACCUCUAAUGAAAAUAUUUGGAUAUUUCGAGCAAGAUUGGCGUGGCCCACGUUUCAAAGCGUGCCAUUGUACUCCGUUGCUUCGAGAAGCUUGUAAGUAAGUACGUUUUUCCUUCGAACACGACUGGAUUGGACGCUAUGAGGUAUUUGAUGCUUUCUGUGAUUUUAUUUGCAAGUUACGUGUAUAUAACUAUUAUAUCAUAUAUUUGAUGAAUAUUAUUGUAUGUACGCCUUUAUUAUGCGUACUAUUUGUAUAUUUCUAUUUUGUAUGUUUUAUGUUUGAUAUUCCUUGCUUUAUUUCCAUUUAAUUCAUAUAUGUCUACCAUACUUCCGAAAAGACGAUUGAACGAUAAGUUUGUCAUAUAAUAUUUUGUUUUUCAUGGCACUGUACGCUAUCUGGUAGUCUUUGGAAUUAUGCUCGUGUCAUUGAUAAUUCUCUUCUAGUUCUCUUGAUAAUUUGUUCAUUUGAACUGGUCCUUAAAUUAUUCAAAAUUUCGUCCAAUUCCGAUAGCAUCGUAUCGCUAUAGUUUAUCGAAUCUUUUGAAAUUAUUUAUUAUAAAUAUGAAUAAAUGAAUGUAUAAUAAUCGUUGAAUUAAAUUAUUUGCAUUUUUAUAUUCUAUAUUCAUUUCUAUAUUCGAUAUGUAAUAAAUAUGAUCGUAAUAUCUUAUCUUCUAAUACCUUAUGACAAUAAUUGCUUCAAACGUUUCAUCAUUCUCAGUAAAAUUUAUUAUUCAGCGAUAGUAUCCCCAGUUAAAUGGUCCAAUGAAAAAUCUAUAGAUCAUAUCAAUAAAUUAAACAAUCACCAUUAUCGUACUAAUACGACAUCCGAUUUUUUAUUUAAACCAUUUGAAUCACAGAGUACAAAAUAUUAUGAUAGAAACGUUAUAAUUGUAACUUGAAAUCAAUUGAAAAAAUCGCUGAUUUUAAGAAGCUCGUAUAGAAGGAAAAUUAUAAAACUCAAAGUAUAUUUUCUCUAUUCUGAUAUCGACAUGAAUUUCACCAGAUUUGCAAGUGUAUCUAGCCUCCAGUAACGGCCGAUUUAAUUAUCGUUAUCCGUAACCCCUUCGAUCUAUUCGCAUUUGUCAUGUUCUUCAAAACAGUUUUAAUUGCAGCUCGAUAAGACCGGAAAUCAAAGGUUAUAAACGGCAAAAUACCGACACAAAGUGGCACGAGAUAUCGUGGAAUGCGUGUUGCAAUUCGUAGAAUUGCAAUGGGAGUCCGAGUCACGUACAAAAUAAACGCGUAAUACAUUGAAUAACCCUUGUGCAGUUCGUCAACAAUUUUUCUACCUAUUCUUAUUCCUUUCCUCUUUCAAAUAAACUUUCCAAUUUUAUAGAAAAACCAUCGAUAACGAAUUUCCGUACAUUAAAUUUGUUUUGAAAUUGAAAAAAGGGGAGUACGAUUCAAGAACCAUCGUUGAAUUUAUUAUUAAACGAUACCGGUAACGUCGAUUAUUAUAUUUGUAAGUUCGUUAAAAAAUAAGUUACGGCACAGUCAAUUUCUCGUUACGAUUUUUUUUUUUUUUUACAAUUACCACCAUCGACAAAAGAAAGGACGGCAGAGACGGAAGCGUGGAAAUCAAAUGGAAGGAAGAAAGAAAAAAGAGAAUAUAGUUGUGCACAGUUUAUAAACAAUGUUUAUUUUCUACAAUUUUACUUCUGUUCCAUAUCGUUUCGUUCUUUUUUCUUUCCCUGUUUUAAUUCUCUUUUACAAUCAUAGGAGCAGCCUACAUUUAACGUGAUUGAAAAAUCUUGCGCCAUUGAGAGUGUGAAUGUUGAAUAUGUAUACAGCACAUAUACAUGUACAUAACACACACACACAUAUAUAUAUAUACACAUACCUUUUCAUUUCAUUCUUAUCUUAUUUUAUAUAAUGUAUAUCGAAGUAAAAACUAAGUAUUCAUAAAAAACGUAGAUCAACAUUUUUUUUUUCUUUAUCUUUUUCAAUUUUUUUUCUCUCUCGUUCUGGUGGGAUAUCGUUUAUAAGGGCACAUUAUAGAACUCUCUAUGUGUACAUACAUAUACAUAUGCAUGUGUUCCCCAUACAUAUAUUAUAUAUACACAUACAUUUUACAUACUUUCAAAAAGAUAUGACAACCGGAUAUCGCUUUCUUCGUUCAACUCAACUCAACAAAAUGCCACAAUAUACCUGUGUGAUUCUCUUCCUUCCCCUUCUUCUUGUCUUUCCUUCUAUUUUCCCUUUCCCUUCUCUCCCUUCCUCGUUCCUAAACGUUUUACAACUCGCUUUCCGCUCCCUAUUGACUAGUGACAC